GCCAUUAUGGCCGAGUGGUCUAAGGCGGCACAUUUAAGUUUCUCAUUUGAGAAAAACCUGUGUUAUCGAAAGAUGCGUGCGUUCGAACCGCACUGAUGGCA